AACCAUAGAAACCUGCGGAGUACCUGCGGAGGGAUCAUUAACAAGAUCGAACCAAAAAAUAUGGACGAUCAAAUCCAUAUCCACCUUGUGUGCACUGAUUGACCGUUCGCUUUGGCAGGAGUUGUCUUGGAUCCCGGCCCCUAACCCUAAGUAAUUCUGAGGGGGAGGGGAGGAAUCUAAGCGCGAGGUUGGGAGGAACCCUCCCGCACCUCGGCCUGCCAGAGUUUUUCAAGAUCCACA
rnacentral:misc_RNA from 1 species